UAAGGAAUAUUGGUCAAUGGACGAAAGUCUGAACCAGCCAUGCCGCGUGGAGGAUGAAGGUCCUCUGGAUUGUAAACUUCUUUUAUUUGGGACGAAAAAAGGGCAUUCUUGCUCACUUGACGGUACCAGAUGAAUAAGCACCGGCUAACUCCGUGCCAGCAGCCGCGGUAAUACGGAGGGUGCAAGCGUUAUCCGGAUUCACUGGGUUUAAAGGGUGCGUAGGCGGGCAUUUAAGUCAGCGGUGAAAUCCCCGAGCUUAACUUGGGAACUGCCGUUGAUACUAUUUGUCUUGAAUGUCGUGGAGGUCAGCGGAAUAUGUCAUGUAGCGGUGAAAUGCUUAGAUAUGACAUAGAACACCUAUUGCGAAGGCAGCUGACUACGCGAUUAUUGACGCUGAGGCACGAAAGCGUGGGGAUCAAACAGG
rnacentral:rRNA from 2 species